UCCUCCCCCGCCUGCAGCCGGCGGCGCCCCACGGGCCACCCCCGCGUCCGCAACUGCGGACUUCGUGACCCAUCCCCGGGCCUGUCCGCUUCGGAGCAGUCCGGGACUGCGCAGCUGCGCCCCGCUUGCCGACAUGGGGAAGUCUUUUUCUCAUUUGCCUUUGCAUUCAAAUAAAGAGGAUGGUUACGAUGGAGUCACAUCAACUGAAAAUAUGAGGAAUGGAUUGGUUAAUAGUGAAGUCCAUAAUGAAGAUACAAGAAAUGGAGAUGUCUCUCAGUUUCCGUAUGUGGAAUUCACAGGAAGAGAUAGUGUCACUUGUCCCACUUGUCAGGGAACAGGAAGAAUUCCUAGGGGACAAGAAAACCAACUCGUGGCAUUGAUUCCCUAUAGUGAUCAGAGAUUAAGGCCAAGAAGAACAAAGCUGUAUGUGAUGGCAUCUGUGUUUGUCUGUCUGCUCCUUUCCGGAUUAGCUGUGUUUUUCCUUUUUCCUCACUCUAUCGACGUGAAGUACGUUGGAGUAAAGUCAGCAUAUGUUAGCUAUGACGUUCAAAAGCGUACAAUAUAUUUAAAUAUCACAAACACACUGAAUAUAACGAACAAUAACUAUUAUUCUGUUGAAGUUGAAAACAUCACUGCACAAGUUCAGUUUUCAAAAACAGUUAUCGGAAAGGCACGCUUAAACAACAUAACCAAUAUUGGUCCACUUGAUAUGAAACAAAUUGAUUACACAGUACCUACUAUUAUAGCAGAAGAAAUGAGUUAUAUGUUUGAUUUCUGUACACUGAUAUCCAUCAAAGUGCAUAACAUAGUACUCAUGAUGCAAGUUACUGUGACAACAACAUACUUCGGGCACUCUGAGCAGAUAUCCCAGGAGAGGUACCAGUAUGUAGAUUGUGGAAGGAACACAACUUACCAGUUGGGCCAGUCUGAGUAUCUGAAUGUUCUUCAGCCACAACAGUAAAAGCUGAAGGAGAUACAGCUGGAAAAGAAGAAAUGCCUAUUGAUAUUUUUAAAACUUUCAAAGAUAAGAUCAAAGGGAAGCUUCUGGCAGAUGAAAGCGGACUCUCAAAUUUCAAGGCGGGUUUCACCUGGGAAUUCACGGAAAGGAACGGCCUUUCCAUGAGAAUGAGAACCAUUGUAGGCCAGCAACUUCCAGAUGACUAGGAGCAAAAAUUGGUCAACUUUGAAGGGUUCCGGAAGUCAGAUGAUGAUGGUGAUGAUAAUAAACUAAAAUGGCUUAGUUUAAGAUGAAAACAUUUUCUGCUGGUGACUUUUAUUGAUUUCAAAGACAUGAUUAUCAAAAAUUAUGUUUCAACUUAAGAUUUAUGAAAACAGUAAAAUGUAGACAACAUUUUUUUGUAGUUUUAGGGCUAAGAUCAUUUCUUAGUAAUUUCCAGCUCUACGUGCAUUCGUACUCUUUGGUUUCAACAUGGCGUCGUAUUUCCAUCACAAGUCUGUUCAGUUCACCAUUGGUUGCACUUGAUUAAGGAAAAUACCUACCUUAAAUGAAGUUUCCAUGGGAUCAGUUUUAUCCUGGCAAUAUUAAGUCCAUUGGAUAGAAAAAUUGAAGUCAGCAGCAUGUAAAAAAAUAUGAGUGUAGCACGCUUGUGAAAGUAACGCGUAGGGGAAGCUGCAUGGUUUGCCGAAAACAUACAUGUGUGUUACUUGCAUAAAAAUACGAUAAUUAUUUAGAGUUAAUGAAGCCCUGCCUUCUGCCUUUAAGCACACUCAGGUCUCCCCUUAGCUUUCAUGAUCAUUUUCUCCAAAUUUUCCUGAGUGAGCAUUUUAAUGUAUGAAAUGUGCUAGGUAACUUCUUUCCCUUACUCAGUAUUCCUUUCAUUCGUUGCUGUCUCAUCCAGUCUUAUUUAAACCAAUAUCACCACUUUAAAUUCAUUAUGGAUUUUCUAGUCAAACCCAAUCUUUAUUUUCAUUUUUUUCUUACGUUUUGCUGAUUACUACUGUGUGUGUGUACGUGAAACCAUACACUUUUCUAAUGUAUUGAUUCUACUUGUAUUUUUAAAAUCAUUCUCAUUUCAAUUUUCUCUCAUUACCUAUCUUUAUUAAUGAGCAUGAUCUAGGUUCCUUUUUGUCUGCCCUUUCUCCUCCUGUGACUUCAACAGUCACCUAUAUCUAGAUUAGGGCUUCCAAACCUGUUUCUGGAUACCUGACUAGUCACCUAUCUAGUUUCACAUUUAGCUAGUGACGUAGAAAUACAGUAUUUUGAUAACUUUCUAUAUGUAAAAUCAAAAAAGUUAAACUUUAUUAUAUCCUAUUAAAAACCCAUUUAUUAUACCUAGUUUCAUUGUACAGUUUAAGUCAGAAAACACUAGAAUUUAAAAGGAAGAAAGAAAACAAUGGUAGGGGAAAAAAAUGCUGCGCUAUUCUUAGGGGUUAAGUAACUAUCUGGAUAAGCUGAAACAAAACAGACUGUAAAAUAACACUACAGAAACACAUCCAGGUAUGAGAGCAUUAUAGCUGUAAAAAAUCUGGGAAGAGUGAAUGAGAUUAACUUCCCUUAGGUCAGUGUCCAGUUCCUGUUUUUAAAUGGUAAUUGGAUAAGUAUUGAAACAUUUUUUAAAUACAUUUAUAAUGGUGUUUUCAGAACUUAUCCAGAAGACAUGGUAAAAGAUGUUACAAAUCUAUUUCUAAUACUUGCAGUAAUAACUUUCUCUUGCAUUACACCUUAAUAGACUGUUCUUUCUAGCCAAAUCCAAUAUUACAGCAAACUCUGCUGAUACUACCUUCUGUAUAUAGAACUUCGCCAUUUUCUGAGCUCUUCCACAUACUUUCUUACACAAUUCCUCACAGGCCUAUGAGUCAGACAAAGGAGGGCGAAAGGGUCCUCAUCUUUCAGAAGAAGAAGGACGUGGAGAAGUUAAAGGACCUCUUGCGGGUCAUAGAGUUAGUAAACAGUGUAAUUGGGGUUGGAUCUAGUUUUUCUGUCUCCCACAUCUGUGGUCUGUCAUUUAAAGUAUCCAUUGGACAGCCCUACCUGCCUCAGGUUAGUAUGAUUAAAAAUUAGAGAAAAAGGUCACGGAAUUAAUAGUCAACAAUCAAAGUAGUACUGAUGGACUAAGAUUUAUAUAGUUCUAAACUGGUAUUUGAAAUUUGUCAAGUGGGGCAUAAACACUUAUAAAAUACAUUGGAGCAUAAUGUAUAGCUUAAUUUUUCUGUUAAAAUUUACUAUUCCUUGAUUACAGAAUAACACAACUGAUACAUUGUCAGAGAAAUUCAUAAAUAAUAGAGGCUGAUAUAUUUGAGUUUUGAAAAUAAGAGCACAAUGAAAAUAUUAGAUAACCAGAUAAAUUGUUUAAAAUUGCUAAAUGACCAUCUUUAUUCUAGUACAUCACAUUUAAACGACUAAUUUGUGUGCAGUUUUUCUAGGCCUUUUUUGUUUAGGCCAAUGAGAUGAUUAUUUUCUAUAAAAAUUUAUAAGAAUAUAUGACUCACUUCAGAUCUUCUGAAUUAUAGCUUGAAAAUAGCACAGUAAGUGCUAAAAUACAUAUGAAGUGACUGCCAAAACAGAAUAAAAGUAACUUAUUAGGAGACUUGAAACUUUAGCCUUAAUGAGUCACUCGUGGUACUUAACCUCGGCUUUAUUGCAAUAUAAAUUGUACAGUGUCAUUGGAUGACAUCCCCCCAGUUCUUCCAACCCCAUUUCUUGUUUGUUUUGUUACAGUUCUUAGAUACUUGUUUCUGAUACUUUAGUAAUAACUUUCUCUUACAUUACACCUUAAUAGACUUCUUUCUAACUGUGCUGAUAUUACCUUAUGUAUAUAGAUACACUUGGCCAUUUUCUGAGCUCUUUCACAUAUUUUCUUAAUUCCCAUAGGCCUAUGAGUCAGACCAAGGAAGGAGAUAGGGUCCUCAUCUUUCAGAAGAGGAAGGAAGGACAUGGAGUUUCUUAUAUAAUGAUUAUAUCUUGUUUAGGAAAAUAGUUUCAGUUGAGUACCCCCAAAGUAAGUUACUGCUCAGGAUAGCUAGUAUUUAUUGGAUACUUGCUGUUUGUCAGAUACUGCACAUCUUUUAUAUAUUAUUAUUCCUCAAAACAGUUCUCUAAAGUAGUUACUAUUACUCUCCCCCAUCUUACACCUAAGAGAAAUGAUUUUUAGAGACGUUAAUACGCGUAUGCUAGAAAAUGACAGAUUUGGAAUUGAAGCCAGUUCUGUUUUGACUCAAGCAUUAUUGCUAUUACUAUUUAACCUGUUUUCUUGCUAGCCUUUAAAAAUAUUCUAUUUGAAAAAAAUAUAUUUGUUGCUGCACUUACACGUAAGAUUAUUAGGAUAUUUUAUUAUUUUGUAUAUCUGGUAUAGUGAAAAUAUUUACCGUUGGCUUAAAAGAUACUCAUGCAUAUCUAUUGGACAAUAAUUUUUUUUCUUUUUAAAAAUUGUAAAAUUUUAAACAUAUCAUUCUUCUUUGAUAAGCAGUAUGACUUGAAUUUCAAGCUACUAUUUUUUUUUUUUAAGGGUGUAAGAAAAAGGUUAGUUACCAUAAUGUCACCAGGUAAUGGUUUUUAGCUUACACAUCUGGAGGCAGCAACUACUUGACUCAAACACACCUAAGAGUGAAUUUUUAUUUCUCUUUUUUGUAAAAUCAGAUUUUAAAUGAGAUGUUUAUCUUAAACUAUUUUAUUUUAAGGAAAAAAUAUUACAUGUUUGAGAGGGUGGGGUAAAACAAUUUAAGCUUUAUUUUAAAAAUGUGGUUUUUACUUUUACGUUAAAGUAAAAUAACAUAGUUUUACAAAAAUAAUAGUUGCCUUCUACAUUUGUUUGCAAACUGCACCGUCCCCGUGAGGCGUUUUCACGUUACAACAACAUGAAAAAAAAAAAAUUGGUGUAGCAGCCCUUAUGAAAAUACCUUGUGGAAGGAGGGAAUGGUGGGCAAACAAACUAGAAAGCAUGCAUUAUUCGCAUAAAAAUACGGCAUAUGUGCUUGGAUCAAAACCUUCUAUAUCCCAGAUCUACUUACUUCAAAGUAAAUACUUGUCAACUAAAAUUCCUGAUUAGGAAGAAGAAUUGUGUGUUUUUAUACAUAGUCAGAAUGUAAAUUUCAGAGUAGAUUUUUGAAAUUAUCUUUAAUUUGGAUAAAAGCAAGUAAUACAUUUGUAGUUAUUAUGGAGAUAAAAAUGAUAACUUCCACUUCUUAAAUGACAGAUGUGAUUAUGUAUGUAGUUCUUCAUAUGUGGCUUUAAAUUAAAGAAUAUAGUACGGUCUGUGUUUGACCCGGAAACCCUGGUGGCAUAGUGAUUAAGUGCUAUAGUUGCUAACCAAGAGGUCGGCAGUUCAAAUCCACCAGGCACUCCUUGGAAACUCUAUGGGGCAGUUCUACUCUGUCACACAGGGUCGCUGUGAGUUGGAAUCGACUCGAUGGCAGUGGGUUUGGUUUUGGUUUGCUGUUGGACCCUAAAAAUCUCCCAUAAUAAAAAUAUGUGGCAAAUUUUUCAUAGCUAAAUCUAACUUUUCUAGAAGGAACUCAUUGCCUUCUGUUUAAUUACAUUAAUUGAAAUGUGUUUAAGAGAAGUGUUUCCAGCAUAUUUUGUAUACCAAAAAAAAAGAAGGAUUAGUGUUGGGCCAAUGGCCAAGAGGUAAUAUUACUACCCAUGGUAGACUGUUACAGUUCAAAUUAUCCCACGUCCCCCAGAGUUUUAGAAACUAGAAGUGUGGGAGGCACUGUAUCAGCUAUAAUUGCAUGAUUCUAAGUGCUGUACGUGCUGUUCAUCCUUGCAUUAUUUUGUAAAUGGAACAGUGCCAAGCUGCAAAAGAUGUUAUUUUUUUUUUCUAGAUGCAGAAUUUCAAUUUCAUUGUAUGAUAGCUUGUUUUGAGCAUAAAAUGUCAGCAAGUCAUGCCUUGUGUGCUUUGUCUUGUAUUUCCUUUUACAACUAAAGAUUUUAGAAAAUUAUUUGGCAUGCUUGCUGACUGACCUGCUUGGUCAGAUACUUGAAUUACUAGUUACAUUUGUAUUACUAGUUAGAUUCUAGCCCUUGAUUUUAACUGUGGGAUGACGAAUAAUAAUAGAGAAUGUGAGAAUAUGUUUGGGUGCUGUCUUAGUUAUCCCGUACUGCUGAAAGACAAAUACCACAAGUAGAUGGUUUUAACAAACAAAUUCAUUUUCUCAGAGUUUAUGAGGCUAGAAGUCCAAAUUCAGGGCAGCAACUCUAGGGGAGGGCCUUCUCUCUCUGUCAGCUCUAGAAGAAGGUCCUCGUCUCUUUGUAGCUUCUGGUCCUGGAAGAUGUUCCUGUGGCUUGGCGCACCUCUCAUCCAUCUCACCUCUGCUGGCUUGUUUAAUCUCUUUUCUGUCUCAAAAGAGAUUGACCCAAGACAAACCCUGCACUAAUGCCGCCUCAUUCAUAUAACAGGCAACCUAUUCCCAAAGGGGAUUAUAACCACAGGCAUAGAAGUUAAGAUUUACAGCACCUAUUUUUGGGGGGGGUGGGGGGGGACGUAAUUCCAUCCAUAGCAAGUACUUUUGUUUAUAUUAUGUAGUGGUGUCCAUCAUAAAGCACUUACUAAAUUUCCAAGUUUAGGUGUUCUGUAAUUAUAACUUGUUGCUGUUCAUGUAACAAAACGUGCUUAUGAUAGUAAAUGAAUAGAAAUGCUGUUUUUUUAAAUUCAGCUCUGUUCUUGUGUAUGACAAAACUGUAAAAAUUUUAGCAUGAAAAAUAAAAUUCAUUUCAGUCAAA